rnacentral:rRNA from 1 species
ACAGGGAGUCAGAAAGUCGCGUCAUAGUCGAAGGGUCUUGAAAGGCCCGGCACAGAGGGUGUUACCCCCGUAGACGAAAUGGCGUGGCCUCCCGAUGGGGAUCCCAAGUAGCUCCGGGCCCGAGAAACCCGGAGUGAAUCUGCACAGACCACUGUGUAAGCCUAAAUACUACCUGGUGACCGAUAGCGGACAAGUACCGUGAGGGAAAGGUGAAAAGUACCCCGGGAGGGGAGUGAAAUAGUACCUGAAACCGUGUGCCUACAAUCCGUCGGAGCCUCCCUAGCAGGGGUGACGGCGUGCCUUUUGAAGAAUGAGCCUGCGAGUUAGUGGUACGUGGCGAGGUUAACCCGUGUGGGGAAGCCGUAGCGAAAGCGAGUCCGAACAGGGCGUUUUGACCUGUGGUUAGGGGUGAAAGGCCAAUCAAACUUCGUGAUAGCUGGUUCUCCCCGAAAUGCAUUUAGGUGCAGCGUCACGCGUUUCUUGCCGGAGGUAGAGCUACUGGAUAGCCGAUGGGCCCCACCAGGUUACUGACGUUAGCCAAACUCCGAAUGCCGGUAAGCCAGAGCGUGGCAGUGAGACUGCGGGGGAUAAGCUCCGUAGUCGAGAGGGAAACAGCCCAGACCACCAGCUAAGGCCCCUAAGCGUGUGCUAAGUGGGAAAGGAUGUGGAGUUGCACAGACAACCAGGAGGUUGGCUUAGAAGCAGCCACCCUUGAAAGAGUGCGUAAUAGCUCACUGGUCAAGUGAUUCCGCGCCGACAAUGUAGCGGGGCUCAAGCACACCGCCGAAGCUGUGGCAUUCACACUCGAGACAAGCCUUCGUGGUUCAGUCGUGUGGAUGGGUAGGGGAGCGUCGUGUGGGCAGUGAAGCCGCGGGGGAACCCAGUGGUGGAGCCCACACGAGUGAGAAUGCAGGCAUGAGUAGCGAAAGACGGGUGAGAAACCCGUCCGCCGAAUGACCAAGGGUUCCAGGGCCAGGCUAAUCCGCCCUGGGUAAGUCGGGACCUAAGGCGAGGCCGACAGGCGUAGUCGAUGGACAACGGGUUGAUAUUCCCGUACCGGCGAAGAACCGCCCAUACCGAG